rnacentral:snoRNA from 1 species
CCUUUUGAAUGAUGAUUGCAUAGUUCAGCUGAUUGCCUCUGACGACUUUGCUAGCUAGUCUUUCGCUCCUAUCUGAUCCAAUCU